UUUUUGGCGCGAGUUGCUAGCCUAGCGCCCUCUUGCUACUUUUUUCCGAGCAGAGGGUUGACUUGUACCUGGACGUUCGCUUUACUGACGUUCACGUUCACUAAGCGCAUGCGUACUAAAUUUUAAAAAAGCCAGACCACACGAGGAGCUUUCUCAGGCGGAAGGUACCACCACAGGAUGCAACACCUUUGCGCAGCAAGCUAUAUACAACCCUCGAAUCCCGUUCUAUGCACCACAUGGAUUAUUCUCAUGAGGACAACCAGAUCAUCCUGGCCGAAACGUUGAGUUGACACCAGUGUCAUAGGUCUCGAGACCGGGUCUCGUUAUCGAGACCAUCUCAAGACCUUUUUUUGUGGAUGUGGUCUUGGUCGCGUCCUAUCCAAGUUGCGGUCUCGCAAGGGUUGGUCUCGGUGUCAAGUGUUGGUUUUGGUCUCGUAUUUCAAAAUCUCGGGUUUCCCCCCUCGAGACUACAGCAAAAUGUGCAUCUGUAGCUACCACUCAUGAAUGCACUUUCCAGCUGCUAUAUAUUUCAGUUGAAACUAAGUGAAAAUAGGCUUGGGAGUUCAUGGUUGUAGGCCGAUGUGUAAUUCAACCAUACACCUGCUUAAUGGUAUUGAAAUAACAGAAGUCUGCCGCUCAUUACAACUACAUUGUAUUUCCCAGAGGUAGUACAUGUAUAUAAUUUUGAAGUUUGGUCUCAGUUUGGAAGUCCAGGUCUCAGUCUCGAUCUUCAGUAGUCUUGGUCUGGGUCUUGAAGGAGUGUGUCUCGGUCUUGCUCUUGGUCUUGAAUGCCUUGGUCUUGGACAUUAAGGUCUCGGCUACAACACUGGUUAACACUCACCAGUUCUCCAAAGAACCACACCUCUUCCAAAAGAGAUUGAUUCCAUUGUGUACCACAAGCCAGCAUCUCAAGAAGUCCUGGGAGAGUUCUCUGGAUUUUGAAACAUCGAAGACAUUUUACUGGCAACGUUACACUCCUCAAUUGCACUAUGGAUGAGCCCCCUGAACUUUUGAGAACUGAAGUGGUUGAAAUGACCCUUCAACACUGGACCAAUGUCACCCACUUGAAAUUUGAAAGUAUGAAGUUUGAAUUUGAAGUCGAGUGGGACUGGCAAGUUAUGGGGGGAGACUUAUGUUGUUUGGUGUAGGGGAGCAAAGAAUGCAGGGAUUUUGAUACCUGAGAUUUGCCAUGUGAGCAGGAUGUUUUCUUUUUGUUGGUUUUCAACUGUAUUUUAUGAUGUUUUUCUUUUUUCAUGUUUUUACACAAUACAUUCCAUUUGAUGUUUAGGGGUUAAAUGUCAUUUGCU
rnacentral:lncRNA from 1 species